rnacentral:rRNA from 1 species
ACGUAGGGACCAAGCGUUGUUCGGAUUUACUGGGCGUAAAGGGCGCGUAGGCGGCGUGUUAAGUCAGCUGUGAAAUCUCCGAGCUUAACUCGGAACGGUCAGCUGAUACUGAUGUGCUAGAGUGCAGAAGGGGCAAUCGGAAUUCUUGGUGUAGCGGUGAAAUGCGUAGAUAUCGAGAGGAACACCUGCGGCGAAGGCGGGUUGCUGGGCCGACACUGACGCUGAUGCGCGAAAGCCAGGGGAGCGAACGGGA